rnacentral:misc_RNA from 1 species
GUUUUAUUUAGACACUAUUUAGUGGGACUACAUUCUUAGCACCCAAAAUUUCACCAUUAUUGAUAACUGAAAAUGACAAAAGAACAUUUUGCUAAAAUCCACCAUAGUAAAAGUACAUACUCAAAAAUAUGUGAAAAUAUAUUAAUAGAAAAAAAAAUUAAACUUAGGCUCUGUAGGAGCUGGUUGAUUCACUGACUUUGCAUUCAUUCAACCUUAAUAAUUGCCCAAGACCAAAAAUUUAUCUAGCAAAAAAAUAAUUAUCAUCAAUUGCUUUUUUAAUUCUCCAAACAGCUAAAAUAGUUAUAAAAUCUUUUAAUCUAACAAAACGAUAGAUAGUUCGAUUGAUGAACUCAGCCAUCGAACCCGGUCUGGCUCCACACAGCAUCUCGGACCCGGCUCAAGUCCCGACCCUUUAACGUACGGCCCACACCUUCAAACACCGAGUGAGCGUUCGAGUUCCGGCUCCGAGCAAUGUAUUCAUGCGGCGGAACCAUCUCCGAGUCAUGAUCAUCAACACCAUCGUCCGAGUCAUGCAACGAUUCAACCGAGUUAACUCGGUAUAUUUUAGACCAAUCAGGGACAUUCACAGGUGCUGACGUGGCCAUGUGUGCCACACGUGGGGAUGGCGCGUCUUGUCCGCGAAACUGGUGCAAGAUUCGAGGAGAUGCCGUUUUACCUGAAUCAUCGAAAGCCAAUGACAAGCCCCCAACCUGGCGCCCGCGGUGGCUGUGGUGGUGGUGGUCGGAUUGUUGGACCUUACGGUUCACGUAUCCGUUGUUACCCUCAGCGGCGGCGCGUGGACUCCACUCGCCCCUUGAAUCGUGAUCAUCCAUGUCAUCAACCGUUGCCCAGACAUCAUCUUCUCCUAGUUCGGAGGAACCGUUGACUGUUGCAGUUCCAUUUCUAUAGCUUGGGUAGUUUCCUAAUAACAUUUCACUGCGACUCGUGGCCAGUUUCCGACCCUUUGCCAUUUAUCAUCACCUUUUUUUAAUCUCCAGGCGACAGAAAAGAAAAAAUUUCUAUGUAUAAACAAAAUAAUUACUAUGGGUUACCGGAAUCUUGAUUUUCCGGCGACCCAAUUUUUUUAGAAAAAUAAAAUAAAAUGGAUGUAUUAUUGUGAUUUAAUGUUAUAGCUCCAUGGUGGAAAAAAAAAA